CCUAUUUAGUGCUAUACUAUGCUCUGUAUUUUCCUUGUUUCAAACAUGGGUUGCUUGCGAGUACAUCAAAAGUACUCAUUGGCUUGCCACUGGUUAUUUUAGUGGCCACGCAUAAGAGAACAUGAUAUGUUGAAGAUUACCUUGGUGGCGUAUGUGCGAUAUAGAAUACGUGUUGGGUUAAGGCAUAUGGCAUGGGUACACACUGUUGAUGAUGAUUUCCCGCUGCAAGUAUAUGAAGCUUGGCCACACAGGCCAUAUCCAAGCCAAACGG
rnacentral:lncRNA from 1 species